rnacentral:lncRNA from 1 species
GCCAUUACUUGGCACUGCGGACAGCGUUGAGUGAGGGGGCUGUGACCGCUGAAUGGGGACUUGAAGGAUGAGAGGGCAACAGGAGCGGCAGCUCUUCCUCUGCCAGGAAAGGAACUUCAGGAGCCCAGGCCCCGAGGGCGGGAGGCGUAGGGUGGGUGUGGGGGCUCCUGCGACAGCGCAGACUUGGCGCGGACGGGUGCAGGGACUGCGUGGGAGCCUCCGGGGUCCCCGCGCUCCGCGACCCUGCGUGACCCGGGCGGCGAGGCCGUGCGGAGGAGGAGGGCGCGGGCGGGGCUCCUGGCGGGCUCUCCUCGCCUGGUUUGUUAUGCACGAGGCAGGCAAUUUGCCUUCCGCCCGGGGGACCCAUCUAGGAGACAAGAAGGUGACGAAAACUCCUCGAGAGGGAUCCAAGAAUGAGCAGCCUUGUCCCCUGAGGUCUGGCCCACUGCCUCCUGGUUCAGCAGAAAUGUGUCCUUCCUGGAAGCCCAGAGGUCCUAGGGAGAGAGGAAUCAGCCUGGGGCCUGGCCGGGCCUCCUGGAGCCACCUUCCGUGUGAGGGGUGAGGAAUCUGCUACUAGUUGACCAUCCCGCGGCGGAGAACGCCACCCACCCCAAGACAGCUCCUAAAAUGGAAAAGGCUGAAACUGUGCCUGGCUGUGGUCUCACAGAACACCGCCAGGCAGUGGAAUGGAUGUCCACGCAGGUAUCUGUACAGCCCUGGAUAGAGAGCAGGGACCUGCUGUCCACACUGUGCAGUGCUGGAGCCAUGUCCUGACAACUCCUCACCGCUCCUGUCUCAGCUUCCUUCUCUGUAAAAGGAGGGGGUUGCGUGUGGGCUUGGAGGUCCCACAGACUAUGAAUCUAUGGCUGUGUUAGGGGUACAGAGCAAGGGGGCUGCCUCAUGCAGGGCAGAGGUUCGGGAAGG